GGUGGGGCAGGCCUGGGCUAGCAGGCCCCAGGGAGAACUCCAAUGGCGUCUGUGUCAGCUCGCCCACACCAGGCCACAACAAUAGCCGCCGCCACUGUCCCAGUCCCUGGAAAGGUCUCACCUCUCACCCUGAUGUACUCAGGGCUUAUUAGAUUCUUUGGAGUGGAAUAGCUGGGUCAUGGGAUGGGGAAGAACCAAGAAAAUGUGACACAUUCUCUAGAGAAAAGAGAAUUAAUUCCAACUUGAAGGUGAACCAAACGUUGUAACUAGAAGAUGAGACUUUUAAAGUGGGAAUUUGAACUAUUCUCAGUGAAGUAAAGCAUAUUUUCAGUGCAUGAAAGUCUCAACAAAAAAAUGGAAACUCUCAACAAGAAAGUCCAAAUCAUGAAAAGGAAAUGAAUGGAAAUUCUAGAAAGGAACAAUAGAAUUUCUGAAGUGAAAAGUUCACUGAAAGGACUUAGCUUCUGUAUGAUGUACAGACAUGACCGAGGAAAGAGUAAGUGAACUUGAAGCCAGAUCAAUAGAAAUUAUUCUAGGUGAAGGAAAUAGUAAACAAAGAUUGGGAAGAACUGAAUAGAGCCUCAGAGACCUGUUAGAUCACAUCAAACAGUUGAACUUUUGUGUGACUGGGAUAUCAGAAGUGAUAACAGAGAGAAAUGGGGAAAAACUUUUUGAAGUAAUGGCUGAAAAGUUCUCAGACUCAAUGAAAUAUAAAAAUUUGUUGAUACAGAAUGCUAAACAUGAAGCAUUAUAAAAGCAAAGAAGCCUACCUUGGGCACAUUAUAGUUAAAGUGUUUAGAACUGAAGACAAAGUAUAAAUCUUCAGUAACCGAAAAAUGAUGUAUACGUGGGCACAAUGAUCCUACUAAUUUCUGACUUCUCAUCAGAAACCAUUCCAGCCAGAAAUGCAUGGAACACCUUUAAAUUGUCAGAAAACAAACAAAUAAACCUGUCCAUAUUGAAUGUAUAUCCAGUGAAAAUAUUUAAAAAUGAAGAUGAAAUAAAGGCAUUCUCACUAAAAGAAAACUAAGAAUAUUUGUUACAAACGAAUCUGUAUUACAAUACAUGAUAAAGGAAGUUCUUCAUACUGAAGUAAAUGAAAUUUCAUGGAGACUUGGAUCCUCAGAAAAGAAUGAAGGACAUUAGAGCUGGUAAAUAUCUGGGUAAAUACACUUUUUUUGUCUUUUCUCUCUUAACAGCUUUAUAAAACAAAUGCCGCAUUAAAGAUUAAAAUUGUAAUGAGGUCUAUAACAUAUUCUCGUUAGUGCCAUUGAGUCAAUUACAACUCCUAAUGACCCUGUGUACAGCAGAGUGGAACUCUGCCCUGUUUUUGUGCACCAUCCUCUCAUCUAGCGCUAUAUCAGACAAAGCUUCACUGCUAUUCACAGGGUUUUCAUGGCCAGUUUUUUUGGAAAUGGGUGGCUAGGUCCUUCUUCCUAGUCUGUUUGAGUUCAGAAGCUUCACUGAAACCUGUCUACCAUGGGUGACCCUGCUGGUAUUUGAAAUAUCUGGCAUAACUUUCAGCAUCACAACAACACAUUGCUGCCACAGUAUGGCAACCGACAGGCAGGUGGUGUGGUUCCCUGACUGGGAGACGAACCCAGGGCCACAGCAGUGAGAGCACCAAAUUUUAACCACUAAACCACCAGGGCUGGCUAUCUAUAAUAUUAUGUACAAAAAUAGUAACAUAAAGGACAGAGGGCUAUGACCUUAUAAGACUGCAAGAUGUUAUGAACCAAUACAUUGUUAACUGCAAAUGGACUGUGAUGUACUAGACUUUUACAUGUAGUCGGAUCUAGUUCUGGACUUUUCUGUUUUUUCUAUUGACCUGUUUAUUCGGGUGCCAGUACCACACUCUUAAUUAUAUAGGCUUUAUAGUAUAUUAUAUUUUAUCAGGCUAGUCCAUUCAUGGAGCUCUUCUUUUUUUUUUCUUCAGUGUUUUCCUAGAAAUUUGUAUAGGUUCAUUUUUCCAUUUGAACUUUAGAGUCAACUUGUGUACCUCAACAAAACUCAUUGGGAUUUUUUUGUAUUUUAUUAAAUUUAUAAGUUUAUGUUUAUAAAAUUUAUAAAUGAUGUGUUGAAGUUUUUGAGACAUCCUAAUCCAAGAACAGGGGAUGUCUUUUCUUUCAUUUAAGGCUCUUUUUGAAUUUUUCCUGUGUAUUUUAUAGUUAUAUUCUAUAUAUUUUAAACAUUUUUUUGUGCUGCUUAUUCAUAAUAUUUUAGGUUUUUUGUGUUGCUAUUGUAUUUGAGGUUUUAUCAUUAUGUCCUGUAACACAAGGGUCAGAAAACUUUUUAUAACGACCAGAUAGUGAAUAUUUUAAGCUUUUUGGUCUCUGUCACACUACUUAACUUUGCCAUUGUAGCACAAAAGUCACCUUAGACAGCAAAUAAAUGAAUGAGUAUAACUAUUUUCCAUUAAAACUUCAUUUAUAAAAACAGGCACCAGGACUUCUGUUUCAGACAGGGUGAUACAAACAUAUUUCUCCCUGUUCUUCCCCUCUUAAGUACAAUGUAAUCCUUGGAAAGCUGGAGGCAUCACAAUCCCUGACUUGAAAAUAUACUGCAAAGCUAUAGUAAAACAACAUGGUACUGGCACAAAAACAGACACUCAGAUCAACAGAACAGAAUUAAAAGCCCAGAAAUAAAACCACCCAUCUACUGACAGCCAAUCUUCGAUAGAGGUGCCAAGAACAUACAAUGGCGAAAAGAAAGUCUCUUCAAUAAAUGAUGUUGGGAAAACUGGACAGCCACAUGCAAAAAAUGAAAUUCGACCAUUAUCUUACACUAUACACAAACAUUAACUGAAAAUGGAUUAAAGACUUGAAGGUAAGACCUGAAACCAUAAAACUCCUAGAAGAAAAUAUAGGCAGUACACACUUUGACAUUGGUCUUAGCAGCAUCUUCUUGAAUACCAUGUCUCCUCAGGCAAGGGAAACAAAAGAAAAAAUAAACAAAUGGGACUACAUCAGACUAAAAAGCUUCUACAAGGCAAAGGAAACCAUGAACAAAACAAAAAGACAACCCACCAACUGAGAGAAAAUAUUUGUAAAUCAUAUCCAACAUGGGGUUAAUUUCCAAAAUAUGUAAAAAACUCAUACAACUCAACAACAAAAAAAGAACAACCCGAUCAAAAAAUGGGCAGAGGAUAUGAACAGACAUUUUUCCAAAGAAGAUAUGCAGAUGGCCAACAGGCACAUGAAAAGAUGUUUAACAUCACUAAUUAUUAGGGAAAUGCAAAUCAAAACUACAAUGAGAUAUCACCUUACAUCUGUCAGAAUGGCUAUAGUUAACAAGACAAAAAAUAACAAGUGUUGGAGAGGAUGUGGAGAAAAGGGAACCCUCAUUCACUACUGGUGGGAAAGCAAACUGGUGCAUCCACUAUGGAAAACAGUAUAGAGAUUUCUCAAAAAAUUAGAAAUAGAAAUACCAUAUGACCCAGCUAUCGUACUACUGGGUAUUUACCCAAAGAACAUGAAAUCAAUAAUACAAAGAGAUUUAUGCACCCUUAUGUUCAUUGCAUCAUUAUUCACAAUAGCCAAGAUAUGGAAGCAACCCAAGUGCCCACCAACUGAUGAUUGGAUAAAGAAGAUGUGGUAUAUAUAUAUGAUGGAAUACUACUCAGCCAUAAAAAAUGACGAAAUCAUCCCAUUGGCAACAACUUGGAUAUACCUUGAGGGUAUUAUGUUAAGUGAAAUAAGCCAGACAGAGAAAGAUAAGCACUAUAUGAUUUCACUCAUAUGUGGAAGAUAAACACAUGGAUUAAGAGAGCAGAUUACUGGUUACCAGAGGGGA